UACGGAGGGAGCUAGCGUUGUUCGGAAUUACUGGGCGUAAAGCGCACGUAGGCGGCUUUUUAGGUUAGGGGUGAAAGCCUGGGGCUCAACCCCAGAAUUGCCUUUAAGACUGCAUCGCUUGAAUCCAGGAGAGGUGAGUGGAAUUCCGAGUGUAGAGGUGAAAUUCGUAGAUAUUCGGAAGAACACCAGUGGCGAAGGCGGCUCACUGGCCCGGUACUGACGCUGAGGUGCGAAAGCGUGGGGAGCAAACAGG
rnacentral:rRNA from 1 species